rnacentral:rRNA from 1 species
AGAACUGUGGGGACACGUGUGGAGAGCACAAGCCGGGAAUGGAAAGCCCGGCGCAAGCGAGGUAGGAGUCGUACUGGCAAAUCCGUACGGCAAUCCGAAGACGUGAUGCGUACCGAAUUAAGAGUAGGGAAGAGUGUGAGCCAUGCGUCAAGAAAAGCCGCUAUUGUUUGUAUCGCGCCCGUACCGUAAACCGACACAGGUGGAUGAGGAGAGAAUCCUAAGGCCGACGGGAGAAG